CGUGUCUGGAGGUUGCGGGAAGGAGACUGUGUCUCCCUUUGGGAAAACUACUGAGGACUUCUUUAUAUCCUACUUCUCCUGGACUCCAUAAGUUACAGGACCGAAGGAAACUGAGAAAUAGAGAAAAGGUGCCUCUUGCCCCUUUAACUCCACAAAAGGGUGGCUGCAGAUGGAGCAGCUUGGACUUUAUUUUUACAUUGCGCGAAGCCCGCGGGCAGCGGCUUAUGCUAAUUGAUUUUCCCAGCUCUCAGCCCUGGGUAUCUAGCUAUCUCCAGGACAGUUUGCUUUUUUCUUUUUCUGUCUUUCUUUCUUUCCUUCAAUGUAUCAGAAGACCUGAAGCUCGCUGCCCGCGAGUUUCCUCCGAGUUCCCAGACAGAGUCUUGCUCUAUUGCCCAGGCUGCAACUGGCGUGAUCUUGGCUCACUACAACCUCUGCCUCCUGGGUUCAAGCGAUUCUCCUGCCUCAGCCUCCCAAGUAGCUGGGAUUAUAAGCAUGCACCACCAAGCCUGGCUAAUUUUUGUAUUUUUAGUGGAAACGGGGUUUUGCCAUGUUGGCCAUGGUGAUCUUGAACUCCUGACCUCAAGUGAUCCACCUGCCUUGGCCUCCCAAAGUGCUGGGAUUACAAGCAUGAGCCACCGCACCCAGUCUUACACUGAACUUUCAAUGGGUUCAAUUCCACUAGGAGCAUAAAGGCCACUGCAUAUGAGUUGUGGAAAGAAGAGAUUACAGGAAGAAGGAAGAACUUGAGAUGGGUUCCUCCCUUCAACAUUCUGUCUCCUCCUACCUAGCAUCUUCUUCCUUUUAGUCUUUCUAGAAUGUCCAUCUGUUUUUGGCCAUUGCAGAAAGAGAAGCUGAGCUUUAAAGUUGCUGAGACAAAGGAAAACCCACUCCCUUGGAGGAGCAUGACCUUUUCCUGUAUUGCUUCCACUGCUGUUGUUGAGCUCCUUGGACCAUGGCUCCUGGACACCAUCAUCAAGAAGACUUUAUGGAUGGGCUAUCCACCCACUGAGAGAAGAGGAGCAUCAGCUAUGGUUUCUCUCUAGAUUGCCUUCUUCAUUUUGAGUAAUGACUGUCAGCAGGGUCAGAUUAAAGACAAAACAACCGGACAGUUGCUUGGAGGACUAAACUAUAAGGGCACUAACAUGUCAGUAGUAUGCUAACACAUCCAUAGAAAAUAUAUUUACCAGCCCUUCUCUCAGGGAGGAUUCUGUGUGGGUUCAGAAGGAAUGGUUUGUUAAACUCCUUAGGGGUAGAAAGUAGGGCAUAAUCAGAAUAUAGAGGAAUAUGCUGUUUGACUUCAGGGUUUCUGUUUUUCUUACUAGGAUAUAUAAAACAGGGACUCUGGCUAGAUUGUUUAUGACCACAGAGGGUUGGCUGAGCGCUCCCAUGAUCUUCCUGCUUGGUUCUUGCCCAUACAGACCUCAGCCUUUCCUCUAAUAAAGAUUGAACAAGCAGUGGUCUGAGGGAGACACCAAUUCAUUACCUUACAUGUCUCUUCUCUGCACUAUAGGGCUUUGUUAAUAAAGACACUGGCAGACUAUCUAUCUUCCAUUUCUAUAAUGUGAGCCCUUAGGGAGUCUUCAUUCACUUGAGGGUGAGGGUCAUUGCUCACAGAGUAGUUCAAGUCAAAUGGAACUUGAACUCUUUGCUUAUAGGCCUGGUGGUCAGACUCUAUGUUGAGUUCAUUAGAUUAUUGGAGACACAAGGUAGAGCUGGACCCUUCAAAAAUAUUUGGCUAAAGGAUGACAUUGGUAGUUAUUUGUAGAUAAAGCCAUGAUGGCCCAUGCUUGGAAUCAUGAAAUAUGGAACUGGUGGUCAUGUUUAAAGAUACAACUAAUAGUUAAGUACCUACUGGACACUGUAGAGACUUAGGGGCAAGACAGACAUGGUUCCUGCCCCCUGGAGCUUACACUGCAGCUUUCCCUUAGGUAUGAAGAACAGUGGCUACAACUAACAAAUGGCCACAAAGAUAUCAUCGAGCCAGUGUUCCAAUUAUUAGGGUAAUUCCUAAUUUCCUUAAUCAUGCCUAUUGGCCAUGUUCUAUAAGCCUGCAUUCUAUAAAUGGCCUAUGAGCAUGGGCUGUUUCACCCCUGCAAGUUGUACAAAGUUCUGUGGUACCAGGGAAAGGGCUUAAGGUUAGCAGGGCCUCUGGGGAAGGACAUAUGAAGUGACUUGGGUUAGGAAACAGGAAAGGAUAGGAUUCAAGAACAGCUAUUGCUUCUGUUCUAUAUAGGAAACUGCAGCGUGAAAAAUGCUGGGCUGGGAAUUUUGAGACCCGGGUUUCAGUUUGUGUUCUAAUACUAACAAGCUAUGUGACUGUGGGUAAGUCAUUUCACAUUCCACUUGGAUGCCUCUUGAGUGACUCCAGGCCUCUCCAGCUCUAAAACAUUAAGAUCAGACCCUACGCUACAGCUGGCCAGUGUGUAAUUCUCCUGUUUCUAUGCUGUUAGGUCAAAUAGAUCUUCAAUAGUUACUUGAUUGUUAUUACUUUUUUCUGAAGUGGGUGUUUUAUCAAUGUUUUAGGAUACAGUGAGUCUGCUUCUCCCCUUUGGAGUUAGGAAGGUUGUAGGAAUAUACACUGUAGAGCAUAUGGAAGCUUUAUUCGCUCCUUUUAUCCCCCCUACCUUUCUCCCUCUCGUUCCCUUCCUCACAUUUCUAUUGAGCAUAUGCCAUUGCUGUGUACCAGGUGUGUGCUAGGUUUGGAGAUACAAGGUAAAUCUGAGACUUUCCCAUACUCCAGGAGACAAAACCCUUCAUUUCUUUCAUCUGCUGGCUUUCUCUUUGGAAAGAAUCAACGAUAUCCCAGGGGAGUGUGCCCAUGUCCCAGGAUAACCAACUACAUACAGAUGCCGCAUUCUACUCAAGCAACUUUUAGAGUGCCUUGAGAUACACAUCAGAUAAUUAUGCAGGGCCGGGCAUGGUGCUGCACACUUGUAGUCACAGCACUUUGGGAGGCCAAGGCGGCAGAUUGCUUGAGCCCAGGAAUUCAAGCCUAGCCUUGGGAAUAUGGCAAAACCCCAGCUCUACAAAAAAAUACAAAAAUUAGCUGCAUGUGGUGGCCCAUGACUGUAGUACAAGCUACUCAGGAGGCUGAGGUGGGAGGAUUGCUUGAGCCUGUGAGGUCGAGGCUGCAGUGAGCCGAGAUCGUGCCAUUGCACUCCAGCCUGGGUGACAUAGGGAGACCCUGUCUUGAAAAAAAAAGAAAGAAAGAAAGAUAAUCAUUGAGUCCUAGAGUCAUUGUGAAAAGAUCUAUCUUCAGAUAUAAGGAAGAAACAAUCUUUUAUUUCUUAGGAUAAAUCUGUAGAAGGACCUCCAGACAGUGAAGGCCACUGACUACUUUAUACUCUGUAACCCAUCCCUUCCCUGGGAAGUAGGAAGGACUACUUUCUAAAAUUACAAAGUACCUCUCAGCAAAUAGAUGUUUUCAUAUAUACUGUGAUUCAUACUUCCCUAUGGCUGGUGACCUCUUUAGAAAGGAAAGGAAAAAGCCUAAUCAGACAAAAAGAUGUUGCUAUUAAUUACCCUAUUGUGAAUCCUAUAUAAGCAAAUUUGUAUCUUUGUUUUUUCCAACAUUAGCAGAUCUAUUUGAUGUAUAUCUCUGAGUGCAGAAAAUAUUUUAUGGAAAAAUCAAUAUAUGGAAUUUCAAAUUCAGCAUUGCUGAUACACACUAUUUGGUUUCAGAAUUUUAUCAUAGGAAAUAGUAUUAGGGAUUUCAAUUUCUGGCUUAAGUGGUAGAAUUAAUUACUCUUAACUCUUAAUUUUACUUCUGAGUUGAGGUCAAGGAACAGGCAGACACCUCCAGUUAACGUCUAUACCUCUCCAUGGCCAAGAGCUUUAAUUUUCUCAUCUUCAGUUUUGUAGAUGUACAUCAUUACUAAAUGGAUUGAUUAGUAUUUUAUCUCCUCUCCAUGUCCUUACUUUCCCUCUGGUAAAUAUGUUAUAAACAGUGUAAGGCUCCUAAGAUAGAAUGGCUGGUAGGACUUAGAAGAGAAACAAAGGGCAUUGAUAACUCACAUAAAUGGAAAAUUGGCUCUGGAAUAAUUGACAACAUAUUCAAGUAUUUUAGUGCAGUGUCACUCUCAUUGAGAAGAAGAGAACAGUAAAUCUAUGUGACUGUAAACAUUCUAAUGAAAAGAGGAAUAUUCUGUCAAUUAUCUCACAUUUCUAAAUAUCUGGAUAUUGGCCAUCGUAAAGACAAAACAUACAGAUGAUGGAGUUGUCUUUCCACGUCUCAUUUGCAUGGUUUGGAACAUUGUACCUCCAGCCAUUGACUCUAAGGCAAUUUAUAUUUGCUUCCUCUUCCCUCUUGAGAGAAAACAAAAAUCUUAUUUUUCCAAGCAAUUAAAACUCUUCUGCUUCAGCUAGGAUGAAAGAAUUAGGAGUUCUGUCUCCUUGUAUCUAAUUGCAUGUUUCAUCUUUCUUGUUUUAAUGAUUGACAGAAAACUAAUAAACUGAGACAUCUUUGAAUCCAGGUUGAAUGUACUCUCUUGGUGGCCCCAUUGCUAAUUUGUUUGACUAUUUUGCAGGAUUUCUUACUCUGUAAUGGAAAGGUUUAUUAAAUAUGAGGGGUGCAAAGCUUUCUGAAUACUAAUGAACUUAUUUGCCAAAAUUUAAAUGUUCUUCUUGUCAGUGAAUGUCUGUCUCUCUUAACAGGAUCCAAAUUGAAUAAUGAAGAAAAUUAGACUCUAUUGUACCCUCAGGAGAAAUCCUGGUGAAUCGUAAUAGAAUACAGAGGGGGAAAGGGGUCACAUUUUAGAAAAAAAGAGUAGAUAAUUUGGAUUAUUAAAAAAGGGAUUAACUCAGGAAAACUCUAUUCUUUUCAAAGAAACGUACUCAUAGUCAUUCAAUGAGCAGGAUUUCCCACUGCACAAGCAUCUAUACCUUCGGCCAGUGUAGAAUGAGAGUAAGGUCAUAAUCAUAUGGAGAUGCAUGCUAGGUUUCAGUGGUUACAAUUCACUAACCUCAUUCCCAUAUAAGGCCUUUAUAUGCCUGUAAUGGUAUGGGAAAAUCAAUAAGCUUUGAAAAGGAACACUAUUCUUCACAGAAGUUCAAUGGGACAUAGUUGAGUUGGGGAAAUUGCCCCAGUUCUUCCUUUAAGCAUGAAAUGAGGCUGUCCCUAUGUAAGUUUAUUUCCAUUGCCUUGGUGUUAUCACUGAUAAAGUCAAUGAUCAUGAUGCCUUUGCCUUGGCAGCACCUGGGGGGGUACUGAAGGAACCACAUAGCUGUACUCGUGGCCAGAAAGGCAGGCUGCCAGAACUUCAGCAGCCACACAAGUGGCCAAACAUGGUCAGGAACGAAAGUAGUGUGUGUAUGGAGUGAAAUGAAAUGAUGCGAGGAAAGUGAAGGAUGAUAUAAAGGUGGGGCUGUCCAAAGAUGGGCGUUCAUUCCUGUCCUGCACUUGAAAUAGGAAGGAAAGGACUGGAAAAGGAUUAGGUGAGGAAGGAUCCUGAAGUAGAGAAAACAAAGGGAAGACUGCAUGCCUGCAGUGUUUGCUAAAAUUAAUUUGCCUGAGAUUUCAGGAGGAGGAAAGAAAGAUCAAGAGAAAGGGAAAACAGCCUCAAAGCCUGUGAAGGUUGAAAAACAAAAUAUAAACAAAAAUAUUUAAAGCUAAAAUUAUGCUCUUCUAAGAAAAGAGGCUGGACACUAGCAGAAAGCUUGAUGACAGCAAGAUUUGUAUUUAGAGGUUUAUUUAGAUCCCUAAGAAAAAAGGCUUAUGUGACAUAGAUUCAUAAGACACAAAUAUGUCCUUGGCUGACCAUGAUACUAGGCUUCACUCCCAAAGGAAAAAAAGAAUGGUCGGUGCAUCUCAGAUUAACACCAACCAACUCUGCAAUAUUUCAUUUGAGAAAGCGUUUCCUUGUAUUAUCCAUGAUUACAUAAAAAGAGAUUUUAUUUUUUUUUUUGUAUUUGAUUGCUUCUGUGGCAAGGCUUGAGAAUUACAAACCUAGGUUUCCCUCUGGGAAUGAUCAUUGGAUUUUUAAAAUUAAGUAAAUGGAAGGAGAUUAAGAUUUAUUUCCAUUAUUUCAAACCAUAAUCUGCACCUUUGGAAACAACGAGGAAGUUGGAAAGUGGGAAGGUGAGGUAGGUGUGCAAGAAUGGGGAGAAAGAUGCUGCAAGCCAAAUAAGACUGUACAAUUUCUGAGAAAAUUAAAUGAACAAUAGAGUUUGAAGGAUAAGUGGGUAAUGAGGAAUAUGAGAUAAGAAGAUAUUUAAAAAUAGCAAAUUACUUGGGAAAGUGAGGAUGAGUGAUGGUAGAUGGUUAAGGGAUUUGGGAUGGCACGGAAGGGAAGAGAUGACUGGGGUGGGAAGAAAAACAUGAUUAAAGGCUGUAAAAGGGCGAGUUUGGACUCUCGAUGGCAUAUCUUCCCAAACUUUGGAGAAUGUGCAGAACUUAGUAAUAAAGAAGGAAAAGAUUAAAAAAUUUCAUGGUUAACAUGAAAUUGUGAGGACAACAGAGGAAGCAAUAAGUGUCAUUAGUCCUCAGGAAUGAAAGCAUUUCUAGAGAAAUGUACUAGUCUACAUUCUUCAUUUAUGAGCAGAAUAGUUUUCAUCUACUUUUUAUUAAAAGGUUAAUGUAUAAAAUGAAUGCUAUUAAAGGAAAGAAAAGCUAAGCAUUAUCAGGAAAGUUGAAGAAAAGAUUGCACCUAGAACAACUGAAGUAAGCCAGCAAACUGUUUUACAGCCUUUUCUAUAAAAUUUUGAAAUUCGUCAUCUUAAUGAAAGAACUGGAAAUAGUUUUUCCAAAUAGAAAUGGGUAAUGAUAAGGGAGGAAGUUUUAACAGUUAGAAAUAUUUUAGAAUGCAUUCUUUUACAUUUUUUCCCCAUAAAAACGAGAGGAAGCUAAAAAACUUAUGGGUAUUGCUUUAAACACUUUGGAUAAGAAGAUUUAUAGCAACAUAAGGUUAUUGUUAGUAGUAGAAAUAACAUUAAUUUUUUAAAAAAUAUUAGUAUUUGGAGCAGGACUAAAUACCGGUGAUCAUCCUUUUUGGUUUCUUGUGUUUGUGUAGGAGAUUCCAUUCAGACAGACAGUACCAGACCUCCUUUGGAGGGAAGCUGAUAAAGUAAUUAGGUGGAAAGGUUUAAUGAGAUAAUGAUGCUAAGGCCAGUUAACAUCUAAUAAGAACAUAACCACGAGGGAUGAUAUUGUUGCUUAUUAAUUAUAAUGAUGCUGAGGAAAGAGACAAGGUGGCACUCAUUUAGCAGAGAGUACUCAGGAGUAAGAUCGUUUUCCCAAAGGGGAAGUGUUGCAGUCAGAGUUAGAAGUAGGUCAACAUUUAGCAGAGUUUGAAAUUUAUGGCCAUUGGGUUAUACUAGCAACCACAGAACUGAAGGCCAGGCAGGAGGUAACAGAUGCCUUUCUGAUGGUGGCCAGGGAUGGAGUGGAGACUGUUGUGGUUGCUGGGCCAUGCACGGAGGCAGACUCCAGACUGAGUUUUGGGAGCUGUCUGCUUGCCUUAGAUUCCACAGUGGUCAUUCGUGGGCAGACAGGCAGGUGUCCAGAACUGGACUGGAUGUGCUUCCAGUUCUGUGACCUUCCCCUCCACUCCACUGGGUCGAGUGAGUCAGACCCAAGGAUAGCUAUUCCAUCAGUGUUGGCGCCCAGCUUUGUUGAGGGAGCUCAGAAGAUCCUUUGGUCCUGUUUUUAGAGGCGCAGACCUAGCUGUUAUCAGUUGAAUUGCAUUUAUGAUUCCUUGGUGUUAGUCACUAACCACAUUCCGCUUCCUGAAUUCAUUGUGGGUCUGGUCACCUCCAUGUUUGCCUAGGAUGGCAGAAUUGUAGUAUAAAUUUAUUGCAGAUACACUAAUGUCCAUAUUAGUCAGGUGGGCAGGAACAAAGAAUUCGAGGAAGAAACAGCCAUGUGAAAAAAACAUGGAGCUUUUGGAAAUCUUGUGACCCCUCAAGGGAGGCAUAGAAGCUUGAAACAGAGGACUAGCCUUGGGAAGUUAAUUUGGGGCUGGGUAAGAAAUAUAAAAACUCUACUCCUUAUUCAGCACCUUUUCCCAAUAUGGGUCUCUCUCUGAGUCCUGGAUCCUAAGCUAUUGCUGACUCCUUUCUUGUGUCUUUGGAUGCCACCUCUGCAAUAAUAGGGAGGGGUUUUCUAUACCUUCUUGUGUAGUUAAUUUUAUUAACUGGAUGAGGAUCACCUCACAGGAUUUUUCUUGUCCUGUAUAAUGAUGUCACUGACCCCUGAAUUAGAAAGGAAAUAAUAUUCCCAUCAUUAGCUUUUUAAAGCAAGUGUAUUUUAUUUUAUUAAAGGUGUGGUUUUAGAGAGGCAAGAAGUGACAAGAAGACGCUAGACUAGAAGAUGGAAGAUACAGCUCUAGUCCUGACUCAUGCCUAUCAGCUCUGUCACCUUGGACAAGUCUCAUGCCUUUCAGAGCCUCAGUUUCUGCAUUCAUAAAAUGAGGGCUUAUUGAAGAUAAUCUGUGAUGGACAUCACCUUUAAGACAUUGAAAGUUCUGAAAGAUUGAUUGAAAACUCCUUUCUUCCAGGUAAGUAGGUUAUUCUCUAAGGAAUGGGCAUUCAUAUUCAGGUCAUAAGGGCAUGAUUAUACUCUAAUAACUGAUCUCCAGGGUUAAAAAAAGAACCCAUGUCCCUUCCAAUAUGCCUGAGAUAUAAGAUAAUCUACCAUUUGACAAGAUAAAGCUCAUCAAUUUCAUCAUCAGUAAAAAGAGGGCAUAACUGGGAUGUCACUAACUGCUAUUGUUAAAAUGAGCAAGUAUUAAAAUCCUUAUGGAUGUCCUCUUCAUAUUCAACAUUAAUUAGAAACCUGCCCUAUCUCAGUGUUCUUCCAUAAUCAAUCCCCCUUUCCAGUAUUACUAAGGUAACUGUAAGCCCUGCAUGCCUGAACUGUCCUGGUUUACACCUGUUGUUCCAGCAUAAAUGUUAAUUGCAACCCUGUUCACUAUCUGAUGAAUCUUGCUUUGGACGAUAAAUUAUAUGGUCAACCUAAGUAUUAGAGUCCCUGGGAUAAACAAUCAAGGUACCAUUCUUAUUUAUUGGUAUUGGUUUGUCACAAGCUGUGAAAACAGUUUUUCUUUUGAUUGUUUCUUCCUGAGUUGUCACAAAGACCUUCACAUAAAAUCACUCUCUCCCAUUAAAGUAAUUAUUGAAACCCCCUUCAGUAAUGACAACUUGUUUUAGUUUUCCUCCUCAGAUUCCAAAGACCAAAUGUAGAGAUUGUUUUUGCUGGGUCAGGAUCAAAACUGUUCAGAGGCACUAGCCUUGUAUAGGGAGAAUUUCAUCUAUCUAAUCCACAAGAAUCUUGAAGAGACAUUUUUUCCUUGGUAACAUUAUCUUGUAGAAAGAGUCUGUGAUUGACUACUAAUUUUAGCCCAGAGAAUAGAAAACUCAAAUGUACUCAGUUUCAGUGUAACAUAUGUAUUUGUGGCCUAAGAUACUUAAUGUCUCUAAAGUUGCUACUAGGGAAUGAGUAAUUGAAAGGUGAGUUUGGGUGGCCUUCUUAGACAUAAUCUCUGUUAAAACUAUUUAAUCUCUAUGAUUCACAAGGAAAGCUUUUCUUGAGUUGAUGAGUAGAAUGACAUUUCUGAUAUGAUAUUUCUACAACUAUAUUCUUGGCUGAUGGUAGUAGCAGUACCACUAUUUUUUCAUUAUUUAAUUUUGGAAAAGUGACCACUAUUUUUUUCAUCUAAGGCUGUGUCCUUAUUGUACUGAAGCACCCAAUCAACUCAAUGUAAAAAAAAAGAGUCUUUUAAAUAAUGUGGAAUUAUGAAGACAAAACAACUAGUGAGGAAACUAAAUUGUUUUUAUCUAAUUAUUUUGUAACUUAUCUGUGAACUAUAGAUAAUUCUGCUGGUUUUUGCAUUCCUGAAACAGUUGCUGUGAGAAUAAAUAAUAUACUUGGUAAAACAUUGUGAAUGUUUGAGAUAAUAGAUGCACAAUGACUUCAUCCUUGUUUGUAGCUUGCUUGAAAAAUUAAAUUGAAUGAAACAGA